rnacentral:rRNA from 1 species
UACGGGGGGGGGCAAGCGUUGUUCGGAAUUACUGGGCGUAAAGGGCUCGUAGGCGGCCAACUAAGUCAGACGUGAAAUCCCUCGGCUUAACCGGGGAACUGCAUCUGAUACUGGAUGGCUUGAGUUCGGGAGAGGGAUGCGGAAUUCCAGGUGUAGCGGUGAAAUGCGUAGAUAUCUGGAGGAAUACCGGUGGCGAAGGCGGCAUCCUGGACCGACAUUGACGCUGAUGAGCGAAAGCUAGGGGAGCAAACGGG